UCUUAUCACAUAUUUUUCUUUUGUUUGCUGCGUUUUUGUAUGCAGUCAACUGAUAGUUGACUGUAUAUUAUUGUUCAAGUAAUUUGAACACACAUAUUUCUUCGGUAAAUCUUAUAACUUGCACUAGCAGUCAGUGUACAAACACAAGGUACGAAAUUGCGAUCAACUUAAAUCUGCCACCAAUAGUUACAUAUUCACAGGCUAGUUCAGUAAGUAGAACAUAAAAAUGCAGUUAGUAGUGUUAUUAAAAAUCGUGGAUCCUACGAAUACAAGCAACAAUUCGACUGUUAGAUUUGGGUGCGUCUCAGUGUGAAAUACAACGCGCUAUACCAAAGAUAGAAAAGAAAGAACAAACGUGACAGAAACGCAUAUUAGAGAGUGCAGCUAGUAAUCUCAAUAAGGAAAUGCGAUUGGACUCCGUGUUGUUUGAAAGUUAAGUUUUCAACAAUAGUGACAACCAAAAAAUGGGCGUUAGAAUGGUCGAUCGAUGAUACGCGUUUACAGUAGGCAUUAGGAACCUUGGCGAAAAGGUCCCGUAGAAUUUGGGUGAACCUGCUACACAGAUGACACUCAACCCUUUUCUAAUUUGCUGGUGUGACGUCAAAUAACAUAACAUUAUAUGUAUGUGUAAGCAAGGCUUUCAUUUACUACUCCGUAGCAGCAAAAUUUCUAGAAUUAUUGCCAGGAAUAAUGGGAUGCCCAACUCCUCUCUCACUGGAAAAGAGAGAACAAUUACCAGAGAUAAAGAGAUGUUUAACUCCUCUCUCACUGGAAGUGAGAGAGCAAUUGCUAAACGUCAAAACCACCUAAACUUUGACAGUUGAUCGAGUUCAGGAGGUUUUGACGUUUAGCAAUUGGAAACGAGCGAUGGCCAGAUUGAAAUCUUACCAAAAAAAUAUGUAAACGGAGGGAUUGGUUGCAUCGUUCAAGACCACUUAUAAAAAAUGUAAAACAAUGAAAAUUAAAUAAAUUUGUGAAAUCUAAAGAUAUUUGAUGAAACGUUUUGUAAUUUGAA